AACCAUAGAAACCUGCGGAGUACCUGCGGAAGGAUCAUUACACAAUACAAUAUGAAGGCUGUCCGCAGCUGGAGUAUUUUAUUACCCUUGUCUUUUGCGCACUUGUUGUUUCCUGGGCGGGUUCGCUCGCCACCAGGACCACCAAAUAAACCUUUUUUAUGCAGUUGCAAUCAGCGUCAGUACAAACAAUGUAAAUCAUUUACAACUUUUAGCAACGGAUCUCAGAUCGGAAGAGCACAC
rnacentral:misc_RNA from 1 species